CCCGGAUACACCGCCCUCCCCGCCCCAGACGCUGUCCUCGCCGGGGGCUCUCUCGCCUGGGCGCCCCUUUACCUCCAGCCCUGGAACGGGGAGGGGCGCCCCGCUAUCCCCGGCCAGGGACCUGCCGCUAGGACGCCUGCGCGCCGCGGCCCCGCCCUCGUGCCGCGGCUCCGCCCCGUGCCUUCGCCUGGCGCCUGCGCACUGCGACGUCCGCGCCCCCGCGAGUCGGACCACCUGGCUCCCAUCUUCGCACCUCUGUCCGGUGGCACUAAUACCCUGUACUCAGGAGUCUGAGAAGGUGUAGUCGGAGCCCGACGAUUUUCAUGGCGGCUCUGUCAGGAAACCGGAAGUCCUUGGGGAACGUCCCGGAGCCACUGAUACCUUCUUAAAGAUCUUACUCAGCGGUUGCACCGUGCCCACACGCUGACGACAAGCCGUAUCUCACUCGAGCAUUUGAAACCAACCUGGAACCACUUCAUACUGAUCCCUCACACCUACCAAUACUUCCAAACACCCGUCUGUAGACUCUAAAUUAUUCUGAUUUAUUUACACCCAACUUCCCUAUUUCUGUUAAAAGCUGUCGCAGCCACUUAGAUUCAAAUUAAUAGCCUUUUAUCAAAAUAUCUCCUCACAAGAUACCUAUAGGUUACAAGUGGAAAAAUUGUAACUGCAGGAGAAAAAUCUGGCGGACAUCAUCUUAACCAAGUGAUCAGAGUUAACAUCACUAGUGAUAAGAGAUAUUAGGUACCUCUCAAUAUGCUCCAAUGAGAAGAGCACAAAAUCACUUCCAUAGUAUUCUUGAGAAAAUGCAUAGGCUGAAUUUAAUUAUGAGGAAGCUUCAGGCAAAUCCAAAAUAAGAGGAAAUCUACAAAAUAAUCAGUAUCUUCAAAAAUGUCAAGGGCAUGAAAGACGGAAGGGUCCCAGAUUGGAGGAGACUGAGGGCACACGGCAACUAAAUGUAAUGUGUGAUCCUGGAUUGAAUCGUGGUCCAGAAAAAGGACACUAGUGGGGUAACUGAUGAAAUUGGAAUAAGGUCUGUAGAUUAGUUAGCAGUACUUCAUCAGCUGUGAGUCCUGCUUUGGGCAAUUGUACCUUAUUUGAGGAAGUUGGUUGAGGGUAUUCAGGAACUCUACCAUCUGCAACGCUUCUAUAAAUCUUAAGUUAUUUCAACAUACAAAGUUAAGUAAUUAAAAUAUAAAUACAAAAAUAACAUUACCUUGACUUUGUCUCAAAACGUGUAAUUACAAGAGCCUAUAGUGUUUAUUUUUUCAUAUAAUAACUGAGGGAGGAUUACAAUUUUACACACAAGGCUAUUCUGCCAUAAAGGAGUUGAAAGGCUUGCCUUAUACAGAUAAAAACUUGCUUUGUCAGGUCUUAAAUUCAGGUGUCUGGAUUCCAGAUUUAGUAUUCUUUUCCUUAUAUCAGAAACUUUGACUUUGCUGUUUUUCUCUUGCUGCUAUCCAAUUAACUACCAAAUUAAGGCAACUAUUCCUUCAUCCUUGACAAUUUACAGUGAUGUUCAUUUCCAUUUUCAUUGCCUUCUGGAUCAGUGGUUCUCAAAUUUGGCUGACAUUUAAAUCACCUGGGGAGCUUUCAUAACUACCAGUGCCUGCUUCCUACCUCCAGAGAGUCUGAUUAAUUGGUCUUAGGGUAUUACCUGGGCUGCAAGAAUUCUAAGAGCAUCCUAGGUGACUCCACUGUGUAAUCAAGUUUGAGAACCAUUAUACUACACAAAUAACUGUUGGAACAAAGAAUGUGGGUUAAAAAAGAGGAGAGGGAAACAGCUUUUAAAAAAGUGAGCUCUUUAAAGAGAGAUGUUCCAAAGGCCUGAAUGUCAGGACUGAGACUACAGAGGGAUUUGGGUUCCAUCACCUUAUUAUUGGCAAUUAACAUCAUGGGAGUGGACAACAUUGCUUCAGGAGGGCUUGCCAAGUGACAACAGGAGACAUACCAAGAAAUUUUGCAAUAACAAAAUUUGGUUAUAGAAAUAUUUUGAAGUGGAAAGGAAGGAAGGUGAGGGGGGUUAUGUCAAAGCUGUACAUCAAAGUGUGAAGCUCAUCUCAAGUUCCACCUCCUCACUAAGGCUUCCAAGGCCCCUUGGAUCACCAGGUGUUUCAGUGCCCGUACCACAUCACACUCACUGCCACGCUGGACACCUCUUUCAUAUACACCACCAUACUUGGCAUAGGACUAAACCCAGGGUUUAAUAAUCCUGUUUACUGGAGGAUUAUAAAAACAACUUUCCACAUCACCAAUAAGGGUGAAGUUCCUGGGGAAAAUUUGUCAAUUGGUUCCUCGUUGUGAUGGGAGUUUCUCCUGAGACCAGGCUCUUUCUUAGCUGACUGUGGUCCAUGAGACACUAUCAGCCAAUCUUUGUUUGGCCAGCUCUUUCUCUACAACUUUUUCUUUUCCAACCCUUCGGGUCUUUGUCCUAUAAAUUCGCAGAAAAGCCAUUGGCAAGUGCCAGCAACUGGACCUUUGAAAAACAGAACCAUCACCCCUGCCCCACUCCUCCCAGCCCUACCCCCAGGCAGUUAACAGGAGAAAGGAAUGACUGUGUCACUCCUGGCUUCCAGUUGCUCAUCUUGCUCUUACAUUGGAGGCCUCUAGGGCUAAAAGGAACUGGACAAAGUGUGCUGAGUAGCCUAAUAAAGCUGGUUCUUUUUCUGAAAGUUCCAUAUUGUAGAAAAAUAAAAUUAUGUGUUUAAUUUCUGAAA